rnacentral:rRNA from 1 species
AACGUAGGAGACAAACGUUAUCCGGAGUUACUGGGCGUAAAGGGCGUGUAGGUGGUUACGUAAGUCUGGCGUGAAAUUUCUCGGCUUAACCGAGGCAGGUCGUCGGAUACUGCGAGACUAGAGGACGGUAGAGGCGUGUGGAAUUCCGGGUGUAGUGGUGAAAUGCGUAGAGAUCCGGAGGAACACCAGUGGCGAAGGCGACACGCUGGGCCGUACCUGACACUGAGGCGCGAAAGCGUGGGGAGCAAACAGG